UUGAGCCACCGCGCCCGGCCUCAUGUCCUUUUAAUCUGCUUUUCAACAGGGAACAUCACGUCUGAAAGCUCAUGGCCUCUGCCUACCUCGUGGGACAGUGCUGGAAAUUAUGCUCAUGUUUAGAUAGAAUUCUCUGUCUCAACACCUGUUGCUCUUGGGACAGAGACCCCAGGCCCAAAAUAGGCACAGCUGCUAUGGAUGAUCUUCUCACCCUUCUGGAGCCGAGGCUGGGUCAUGUUUGGAAAUACAUCUCCCUCCAUCCCCUCCUCCCAUCCUCAUUCGGAGCCUUCGGGCUUUAAGAGCUCUUUCCUCGUUCCCUCUCCCCAGUCUUUCUUGGGUAUCUCUGCUUCUCCCAUCCCCUGUUCCUGGGCAUGUCAUAGGCAGUUGGUAAAUGACAGAUGCAUGAAUACAUGUAUAAGGAAACACAGAUCUGAAAUUUCUAGGAGUAAAGUUUGGAGCAGGAAGCUCUGGCUGGCCCUGGGCUUUUUGCUAACGGUGUCCUGGCUUCGCCCGGCAGCAUCCCUCCCCACCAGGCCUUUGCCAGGACGCUCGAUCCUCUCUUCAGGCUUCUGAGCAGUGUAAAUUGCAAACAGCCACCCCCACUCCCCAGGCCAAGAAAACCAAGGGUUGCUCACAGAUUUGUCAGGAAUCACUUCUGCCUUAUUAUCCUCUCUUUAUUACCGAAAUGUGGAGGCAGAAAGUCAACAGAGAAAGAAUUUGUUUUCCCCAAGGCCACAUAGAUUGCCCCAACACUUGGCUUUUCCUGCUAGGAACUCAAUCCAAAAGAUGGGCUUUCUUUGGUUCUCUGACUGUAAAAGCGUGCCACCCUGUCACCGUCCUCUAUCACGCAGGACCCCUAUGGGCUUGGUUUGGUUGUGUUCUUUCAUCACUCUUAUUGGGGAAGUUUUAUUUCCUUUACCUUCCUUGAGGUGUGAGGCUUCACCUUACCUUGUCUCCAUUAUCCCUGAGUCACUGAGGAGUCCUAUGUCAGUGACACCUCUCCAUAUGCUUUACCCUUCUCUCAGCAAGCUUGCUCCAGGCUUCCCCAUGAAGGCCACCUAAGGGUGUCUAUCAUCCCCCUCCUAAAUCUCCCCAGGACUUUGAACAAGGACCAUGUCCCGUUUAACGUCACCCGAAGAAGACUCAUCAAAGCCCAGGAGUUGGGAGUUCGUGCUCCUCACUACCUUGGCAAGCAUGAAACACCUUAGAUAAAAACAAUCUGUGCCAUCCCCUGGCUCCGGAUGGCCUGCAGUUGGGGCAUGAGCCCCUCCAGAAUGUCUUGGCAUGGCUGAGGGUAACCAGAUCGCCGCUCAGAUCCAGCAAGCAGCCUCAGAACCUCCCAGCCGCUGUUGUUUUUAGCACUGGGAUUAUUGAUAGGGGUGUAAAAAGACAUCUGUGUUCUGAGUGGCUCGCUCACCCCACAUUCCUAGGCACACUUGUUUUAUUAAAGCUCUCAGCUGUCGGGUGAUCCAGGCGUGGAGAAAUGAAAGGCCGCCCUCACCAGCUGGUGGCGGGCUGCAAACUGCAACUAGUUUUCCCCCAUAAGGACAUGUUACUGCUAUUAGAAACUGUGUCCCUCACAUGUCCUUAAGAAGGGGGCCAUCUGCCAACCAUAAAUCAAGGCUUCAGCUGUUCCAAAUAAAGAGUCUACCCUCCUUGCUGGCGGUCCUUUUAUAGUUGACAGAUUUUUUUUUUUUUAAUCUUGUGCUUGGCCGUGUAUUUCUUGUGUAAUUAAAAAAUUAUAAAAGUAAUAAAAAAUACAAAGCCA